rnacentral:rRNA from 1 species
AGUGAACGCUGGCGGUAGGCCUAACACAUGCAAGUCGAACGGCAGCACAGUAAGAGCUUGCUCUUACGGGUGGCGAGUGGCGGACGGGGGAGGAAUACAUCGGAAUCUACUUUUUCGUGGGGGAUAACGGAGGGAAACUUACGCUAAUACCUCAUACGACCUACGGGUGAAAGCAGGGGAUCUUCGGACCUUGCGCGAUUGAAUGAGCCGAUGUCGGAUUAGCUAGUUGGCGGGGUAAAGGCCCACCAAGGCGACGAUCCGUAGCUGGUCUGAGAGGAUGAUCAGCCACACUGGAACUGAGACACGGUCCAGACUCCUACGGGAGGCAGCAGUGGGGAAUAUUGGACAAUGGGCGAAAGCCUGAUCCAGCCAUACCGCGUGGGUGAAGAAGGCCUUCGGGUUGUAAAGCUCUUUUGUUGGGAAAGAAAAGCAGCAGGUUAAUAACCCGAUGUUCUGACGGUACCCAAAGAAUAAGCAACGGCUAACUUCGUG